rfam:Aedes albopictus isolate Foshan contig44107, whole genome shotgun sequence.
UGUUAUGUGGCUUAGCUGAUUCAAGCGCCGGACUAGCGAUACGGAGUCGUGGGUUCGAAUCCCAUCAAAACAA